rnacentral:rRNA from 1 species
AUUGAACGCUGGCGGCAGGCCUAACACAUGCAAGUCGAGCGGAUGAAGGGAGCUUGCUCCUGGAUUCAGCGGCGGACGGGUGAGUAAUGCCUAGGUAUCUGCCUGGUAGUGGGGGAUAACGUCCGGAAACGGGCGCUAAUACCGCAUACGUCCUGAGGGAGAAAGUGGGGGAUCUUCGGACCUCACGCUAUCAGAUGAGCCUAGGUCGGAUUAGCUAGUUGGUGGGGUAAAGGCCUACCAAGGCGACGAUCCGUAACUGGUCUGAGAGGAUGAUCAGUCACACUGGAACUGAGACACGGUCCAGACUCCUACGGGAGGCAGCAGUGGGGAAUAUUGGACAAUGGGCGAAAGCCUGAUCCAGCCAUGCCGCGUGUGUGAAGAAGGUCUUCGGAUUGUAAAGCACUUUAAGUUGGGAGGAAGGGCAGUAAGUUAAUACCUUGCUGCUUUGACGUUACCAACAGAAUAAGCACCGGCUAACUUCGUG